GUCGACGGCAGCAUAGGAGCUUGCUCCUGAUGGCGAGUGGCGAACGGGUGAGUAAUAUAUCGGAACGUGCCCUAGAGUGGGGGAUAACUAGUCGAAAGACUAGCUAAUACCGCAUACGAUCUACGGAUGAAAGUGGGGGAUCGCAAGACCUCAUGCUCCUGGAGCGGCCGAUAUCUGAUUAGCUAGUUGGUGGGGUAAAAGCCUACCAAGGCAACGAUCAGUAGCUGGUCUGAGAGGACGACCAGCCACACUGGGACUGAGACACGGCCCAGACUCCUACGGGAGGCAGCAGUGGGGAAUUUUGGACAAUGGGGGCAACCCUGAUCCAGCAAUGCCGCGUGAGUGAAGAAGGCCUUCGGGUUGUAAAGCUCUUUUGUCAGGGAAGAAACGGUAGUAGCGAAUAACUAUUACUAAUGACGGUACCUGAAGAAUAAGCACCGGCUAACUACGUGCCAGCAGCCGCGGUAAUACGUAGGGUGCAAGCGUUAAUCGGAAUUACUGGGCGUAAAGCGUGCGCAGGCGGUUGUGUAAGUCAGAUGUGAAAUCCCCGGGCUCAACCUGGGAAUUGCAUUUGAGACUGCACGGCUAGAGUGUGUCAGAGGGGGGUAGAAUUCCACGUGUAGCAGUGAAAUGCGUAGAUAUGUGGAGGAAUACCGAUG
rnacentral:rRNA from 1 species